UACGUAGGGUGCAAGCGUUAAUCGGAAUUACUGGGCGUAAAGCGUGCGCAGGCGGUUUUGUAAGUCUGUCGUGAAAUCCCCGGGCUCAACCUGGGAAUUGCGAUGGAGACUGCAAGGCUAGAAUCUGGCAGAGGGGGGUAGAAUUCCACGUGUAGCAGUGAAAUGCGUAGAGAUGUGGAGGAACACCGAUGGCGAAGGCAGCCCCCUGGGUCAAGAUUGACGCUCAUGCGCGAAAGCGUGGGGAGCAAACAAG
rnacentral:rRNA from 1 species